rnacentral:rRNA from 1 species
AACGAACGCUGGCGGCAGGCCUAACACAUGCAAGUCGAGCGAGCAUUUCGGUGCUAGCGGCGGACGGGUGAGUAACGCGUGGGAACGUGCCCUUUUCUGCGGAAUAGUCCUGGGAAACUGGGGGUAAUACCGCAUACGCCCUUCUGGGGAAAGAUUUAUCGGAGAAGGAUCGGCCCGCGUUGGAUUAGGUAGUUGGUGGGGUAAUGGCCCACCAAGCCGACGAUCCAUAGCUGGUUUGAGAGGAUGAUCAGCCACACUGGGACUGAGACACGGCCCAGACUCCUACGGGAGGCAGCAGUGGGGAAUCUUAGACAAUGGGGGCAACCCUGAUCUAGCCAUGCCGCGUGAGUGAUGAAGGCCUUAGGGUUGUAAAGCUCUUUCAGCUGGGAAGAUAAUGACGGUACCAGCAGAAGAAGCCCCGGCUAACUCCGUG